GCAACCCUUAUCCUUUGUUGCCAGCACGUAAUGGUGGGAACUCAAAGGAGACUGCCGGUGAUAAACCGGAGGAAGGUGGGGAUGACGUCAAGUCAUCAUGGCCCCCACGAGUAGGGCUACACACGUGCUACAAUGGCAGGUACAAAGAGAAGCGACCUCGCGAGAGCAAGCGGAACUCAUAAAGUCUGUCGUAGUCCGGAUUGGAGUCUGCAACU
rnacentral:rRNA from 1 species